rnacentral:piRNA from 1 species
UAUGGCUAGUUGGUUCCUAGGAUGA